rnacentral:tRNA from 2 species
AAAGCUUUAAGUUAUAAAAACUAUUAACCUUCAAAGUUAAAAAUAUUAAAAUAUUAUUAAGCUUUA